GCACCCUUGGUGUAUGGAAACACAUCUUUGAAUUGAUGAUGUUUGAUGUGAAUCAAGAUGAGUCCGGGGUUCGAAUCCCGAGGGUGCA